rnacentral:rRNA from 1 species
GACGAACGCUGGCGGCGUGCCUAAUACAUGCAAGUUGAGCGCUGAAGGUUGGUACUUGUACCAACUGGAUGAGCAGCGAACGGGUGAGUAACGCGUGGGGAAUCUGCCUUUGAGCGGGGGACAACAAUUGGAAACGAAUGCUAAUACCGCAUAAAAACUUUAAACACAAGUUUUAAGUUUGAAAGAUGCAAUUGCAUCACUCAAAGAUGAUCCCGCGUUGUAUUAGCUAGUUGGUGAGGUAAAGGCUCACCAAGGCGAUGAUACAUAGCCGACCUGAGAGGGUGAUCGGCCACAUUGGGAUUGAGACACGGCCCAAACUCCUACGGGAGGCAGCAGUAGGGAAUCUUCGGCAAUGGACGAAAGUCUGACCGAGCAACGCCGCGUGAGUGAAGAAGGUUUUCGGAUCGUAAAACUCUGUUGGUAGAGAAGAACGUUGGUGAGAGUGGAAAGCUCAUCAAGUGACGGUAACUACCCAGAAAGGGACGGCUAACUACGUG